AUAUGUAUGUGUGCUGUGUGUAUAGGUGAGUGUAUUAAUAUGUGUGUGUGCUGUGUGUCUAGGUGAGUGUAUUAAUAUGUAUGUGUGCUGUGUGUAUAGGUGAGUGUAUUAAUAUGUGUGUGUGCUGUGUGUAUGGGUGAGUGUAUUAAUAUGUAUGUGUGCUGUGUGUAUAGGUGAGUGUAUUAAUAUGUAUGUGUGCUGUGUGUAUGGGUGAGUGUAUUAAUAUGUAUGUGUGCUGUGUGUAUAGGUGAGUGUAUUAAUAUGUAUGUGUGCUGUGUGUAUGGGUGAGUGUAUUAAUAUGUAUGUGU